AUUGAACGCUGGCGGCAUGCUUUACACAUGCAAGUCGAACGGUAACAGGCCGCAAGGUGCUGACGAGUGGCGAACGGGUGAGUAAUGCAUCGGAACGUGCCCAGUCGUGGGGGAUAACGCAGCGAAAGCUGCGCUAAUACCGCAUACGAUCUAUGGAUGAAAGCGGGGGACCGUAAGGCCUCGCGCGAUUGGAGCGGCCGAUGUCAGAUUAGGUAGUUGGUGGGGUAAAGGCUCACCAAGCCAACGAUCUGUAGCUGGUCUGAGAGGACGACCAGCCACACUGGGACUGAGACACGGGCGAGACUCCUACGGGAGGCAGCAGUGGGGAAUUUUGGACAAUGGGCGCAAGCCUGAUCCAGCAAUGCCGCGUGCAGGAAGAAGGCCUUCGGGUUGUAAACUGCUUUUGUACGGAACGAAAAGGCUCUGGAUAAUACCUGGGGCUCAUGACGGUACCGUAAGAAUAAGCACCGGCUAACUACGUGCCAGCAGCCGCGGUAAAAC
rnacentral:rRNA from 1 species